UACGUAUGGUGCGAACGUUGUUCGGAAUCACUGGGCUUAAAGGGCGCGUAGGCGGUCCUGCAAGUCCGAUGUGAAAUCCCUCGGCUCAACCGAGGAACUGCAUCGGAUACUGCCGGACUAGAGUGCAGGAGGGGAGAGCGGAAUUCCUGGUGGAGCGGUGAAAUGCGUAGAUAUCAGGAGGAACGCCGGUGGCGAAAGCGGCUCUCUGGCCUGCAACUGACGCUGAGGCGCGAAAGCCAGGGGAGCGAACGGG
rnacentral:misc_RNA from 1 species